AGCCAGCAGGUGGGUGCCAUAUCUGAGUCUCCAUCAACCUGGCUCACACUGUACGCUCUGCCCUGCUGAUUCCCUGUGACCCCACCUGAUCCAAUUUGUAGCCCCACUCAAGCUGUU